CUUGGUCAUUUAGAGGAAGUAAAAGUCGUAACAAGGUUUCCGUAGGUGAACCUGCGGAAGGAUCAUUAUUGAAAUUAUAGGUGAGGGUUGUAGCUGGCCUCUCGGGGCAUGUGCACGCCCCGAGCCCUUAAUCCACACACACCUGUGAACCUAUUGUAAGGGCCCUUAAAAAAGGCCUUUACGUCUUAUCAUCAACCCAUCGUAUGUCUCAUAGAAUGUAAAUAUAUGUCCUCGCCUUAAAAAGCGUUGAUAAACUUAUACAACUUUCAACAACGGAUCUCUUGGCUCUCGCAUCGAUGAAGAACGCAGCGAAAUGCGAUAAGUAAUGUGAAUUGCAGAUUUUCAGUGAAUCAUCGAAUCUUUGAACGCACCUUGCGCUCCUUGGUAUUCCGAGGAGCAUGCCUGUUUGAGUGUCAUUAAAUUCUCAACUCUGAUCGAUUUGUUUCGACUUCGGAGCAUGGAUUUGGAGCGUGCUGGCGUCGGUCGGCUCCUCUUAAAUGUAUCAGCGGAAUCUAACGUUUCGGAUGUCAGUGUGAUAAUCAUGUUGCGCUGUCUGUCUGAUCCGAAAGCCCGCUCACAAUGGUCUUCGGACAACUUCAUAUCAAAUUUGACCUCAAAUCAGGUAGGACUACCCGCUGAACUUAAGCAUAUCAAUAAGCGGAGGA
rnacentral:rRNA from 1 species